UACAGAGGUCCCAAGCGUUGUUCGGAUUCAUUGGGCGUAAAGGGUGCGUAGGCGGCCCGGUAAGUCCGCUGUGAAAGUCGGGGGCUCAACCCUCGAAUGCCGGUGGAUACUGUCGGGCUAGAGUGCGGAAGAGGCGAGUGGAAUUCCUGGUGUAGCGGUGAAAUGCGCAGAUAUCAGGAGGAACACCGAUUGCGAAGGCAGCUCGCUGGGACGUAACUGACGCUGAGACGCGAAAGCGUGGGGAGCAAACAGG
rnacentral:rRNA from 1 species